UACGUAGGGUGCGAGCGUUGUCCGGAAUUAUUGGGCGUAAAGGGCUCGUAGGCGGUUUGUUGCGUCGGGAGUGAAAACAUCCAGCUUAACUGGGUGCUUGCUUUCGAUACGGGCAGACUUGAGGUAUGCAGGGGAGAAUGGAAUUCCUGGUGUAGCGGUGAAAUGCGCAGAUAUCAGGAGGAACACCGAUGGCGAAGGCAGGUCUCUGGGCCUAUACUGACGCUGAGGAGCGAAAGCGUGGGGAGCGAACAGG
rnacentral:rRNA from 1 species